UACGUAGGGGGCGAGCGUUGUUCGGAUUUACUGGGCGUAAAGAGCGCGUAGGUGGUUCGAUAAGUCGGAGGUGAAAUCCCUCGGCUCAACCGAGGAUCCGCGUCCGAUACUGUCGGACUUGAGUGCAGGAGAGGAGAGCGGAAUUCCCAAUGUAGCGGUGAAAUGCGUAGAUAUUGGGAGGAACACCGGUGGCGAAGGCGGCUCUCUGGACUGCUACUGACACUGAGGCGCGAAAGCUAGGGGAGCAAACGGGAUUAGAAACCCCGGUAGU
rnacentral:rRNA from 1 species